rnacentral:rRNA from 1 species
UACGGAGGGGGCAAGCGUUGUUCGGAUUUACUGGGCGUAAAGGGAGUGUAGGCUGUCAGCCAAGUCCGAUGUGAAAUCCUUACCACUCAACGGAAGGGGGUCAUUGGAAACUGGCUGGCUAGAGUGAGGCAGAGGCAAGCGGAAUUCUCGGUGUAGCGGUGGAAUGUGUAGAUAUCGGGAAGAACAUCUGUGGCGAAGGCGGCUUGCUGGGCCUCUACUGACGCUGAGACUCGAAAGCGUGGGGAGCAAACAGG